rnacentral:rRNA from 1 species
GACGAACGCUGGCGGCGUGCUUAAUACAUGCAAGUCAACUGAACUUGAGGUAGCAAUAUCACAAGAGAGGUGGCGCACGGGUGAGUAACACGUAGGUAAUCUGCCUUUAGGUCUGACAUAAUUUCGCGAAAGCGGGACUAAUAUCAGAUGAUGCAGCGGCUCGACAUCGAGACAGUUGUUAAACCUUCGGGGCCUAAAGAUGAGCCUGCGUCGAUUAGGUAGUUGGCGGAGUAAAAGCCCACCAAGCCUGCGAUCAGUAGCUGGUCUGAGAGGAUGAUCAGCCACACUGGAACUGAGACACGGUCCAGACUCCUACGGGAGGCAGCAGUAAGGAAUAUUGCUCAAUGGCCG